UUCUCACAAGUAGAUAUCAUGUGUUUUCUGAAAUGAUAAAGCAACCAGGAUACUCUAAACAAACCAUUAUAUUUCGUUACUAUCAUGCUACUGAUUUCUUCAUAAAAUCCCGUAAGUUGACAUUGGUGUGAAUGCUAUGCUAUAUGCUAUUCAUUCGCUAUUUAAAACACUGGUGCUAAUACAAAAGUCCAGUUGUGAAUUUUACACCCAUGUUUCUGAGUGCUGUAUUCUUGAAUUGUUUCCAGGCAUAUUUGUUUCUUUACCUAUUCUUUUACCAUUUGUGCAUCCUUAAACUAAGUGCUUUGGUUUUGGUUCUUUCUAUCACCUUGCUCUUCUCUAGGUAGAGGGAUUUUUGAGAUCCAUGUAAAAGCAGAUCCAAUCUGCUGGAAGACGUGGAUUGUUUUCUAAAUGAUCUGUCGGCCCUCAAGUUCGAGAGAAGUUUACUUUGGAGGACAUGCGGUGUUUCCAAGGGUUGCUUGCUCCAUUUGAUUUCACUGCAGUCAUUGAUUUGAGAAUACCUGGAUAAAAGUGGUUUACAUUGCCAUAGGGCUUUUAGAUUUUUGAACUUUCAAGGGAAAAAAAGAGUUUUGUUCUUAAAGGUCUUUAUAGUCAUCUUCAUGACUAUUGUUGUAUUCGGUGCAUAGCUUAGGCGAAAUAUAUGCUAAAAUUCUGACAGGAUCCUAUCCCAACUUCUUUAUUUGAGAUAAACAAUGACCUGGUAAGUCAUUCAAUCAAAUUAUUCCAGAUUAUCUUGACGUAUAUGGGAGUCAAUUCAUUGGAUAGAGUGUUUCCUUUGAGUUAGAAGAGAAUUGGGCAUGCUAGGAAAGUUUAUAAGCAAACUAUGAAGCGCCCGAAACUACUUGAUGAACAUUUUGUGCAGAUUUCAAAGCAAACCCGCAAUAAUCCUGAUAGCCCAUGGGGUGAAUGUUGAUCCUGAAAUCCAAACCCUUGCAUUGAAUACAUGGGAUGCUCUGAAACCUUCUAUGAAGGUUGGACCUAGGCAAGCAAUUCAUGCACAUGAAGAGAUUGAAGCUCUGUUGACUGGUACAAAGCUUACGACCAUAGUGUUUUUCUUGGAUGAGUUGUUUAAAGAAAUUACAUACAACAUGGCAUCAACUGUUGCUGAUGCUAUCAAGGAAGUCGCAGGGAUCAUCAAGCUUUCAGCACCAUCUAGUUUCAAUAUAUUUGAAAGCAGAAAAGUUGCCACUGGUACUAAAUCACCUGACCUUGGCAACGUUAUCUUAUGUGCAGGUAAGUGUAAGGUAGUGACCAGUUGAUUGAAGCAUUAUCUUGCAUUCCCCUUGAUUUCAGUGAUGACGAAGCAGAGGGGAUGAAAAAGAAAAAGAUGAAACUUGUUGGGAAGGAAAUUAGUUUUGGUUUUGUAAAUGUUGAUUGCACUAAGAAAACUAAAACCAUUGUCAAGAAAGUCAUUAGCACAUCCCUAUCUAAUGGCUCAGAUAUUGAUGAUGCAAAGAAGUUGCUACUCCUGAGAAGAUCAGAGAACCGAUGAAGGUCGAGGAGCAGACCAAAAAUGAAGUAGAAAGUCAUUUGCAGGUGGGUUUUUGAUCUCGAUCUUGAAUUUUAUUUUUUUUUUCCCUUCUUUGUUUUUGGUUCCUGGGAUAUUACCAAAUGGAUGGCGUAGAUAAAACAAAAUUACCAAUGUGAGCCCACCAGCCUCAUCUCAUGCAGGACUAUCUAUCUUUAGCCAGGUCCCAAUGGGAUUCAAACGGUUCUGAUUCAUCAGUCUCUUGGUUCACUAUAUUGUGUUGUUUGAGUGAAUUUGAUAGAUCGGAAAUCCUUUUCAUCUUCUCUCCUCUUCUCUUCUGUGUUUUAUUUCUUUCUUCUUCUUCCAAACUCCUUGGGCCACACUAGAAGAAGUGGUGAUAAUGACACCCAUCUUAGGGUUUCAAAUCAUUAUCACCACUUUUUCUUUUAGUGUGGCCCAUUUGAGCUUCAGAUCUACCUAUUUUUGGGAUAAAACCCGAAAAUGAUUUGAAAAAAUUUGAUGGGCAGCAUGGAUAAAACCCAUACAUUACGGUGGGCCCAACAUAGCCCCUGCCUAGAGGGAAUAUGUUAUAUGUGGGGCCAUGUAACACCCUGAACUUUUAAUACCCAAACACCAUUGUAAGCACCUAACGAGUGGGAACACACAUUCAACCAACCUGGAUAGUUUCCCCAUUCUUACAGAAUCUGACCACUCGGGUUUUGAUUCAUCAGUCUCUUGGUUCACUAUAUUGUGUUGUUUGAGUGAAUUUAAUUCAUGUGUUCUAUUGAGUAUAUUAUCAUACUUUUGUUGUUUGAAUGAUAUGGAUGCAUUUUUUUAGUCUCUUUUACUUUUGAUAGAUGUUAAUGUUGUAUUUUAACUCUUUGUUUUACUGUUAUUUUGCUUUUUGAUUAAUCUGCAUUCAUGGGUCAUCUAUGUGGAACUG